ACGGACCAAGGAGUCUGA
rnacentral:snRNA from 1 species